GCGCUGCUGAGGAGUCCCAAAAUAAGACAAAACGUGCGUCCAGUGC
rfam:Schistosoma haematobium scaffold443_11, whole genome shotgun sequence.